rnacentral:rRNA from 1 species
CCAGAGAACUUAGCAGAGAUGCUUUUGGUGCCUUCGGGAACUCUGAGACAGGUGCUGCAUGGCUGUCGUCAGCUCGUGUUGUGAAAUGUUGGGUUAAGUCCCGCAACGAGCGCAACCCUUAUCCUUUGUUGCCAGCGGUCCGGCCGGGAACUCAAAGGAGACUGCCAGUGAUAAACUGGAGGAAGGUGGGGAUGACGUCAAGUCAUCAUGGCCCUUACGAGUAGGGCUACACACGUGCUACAAUGGCGCAUACAAAGAGAAGCGACCUCGCGAGAGCAAGCGGACCUCAUAAAGUGCGUCGUAGUCCGGAUUGGAGUCUGCAACUCGACUCCAUGAAGUCGGAAUCGCUAGUAAUCGUAGAUCAGAAUGCUACGGUGAAUACGUUCCCGGGCCUUGUACACACCGCCCGUCACACCAUGGGAGUGGGUUGCAAAAGAAGUAGGUAGCUUAACCUUCGGGAGGGCGCUUACCACUUUGUGAUUCAUGACUGGGGUGAAGUCGUAACAAGGUAAGCGUACGUGU